UCCAGACUCCUACGGGAGGCAGCAGUGAGGAAUAUUGGUCAAUGGGCGGGAGCCUGAACCAGCCAAGCCGCGUGAAGGAAGAAGGCGCCAGGCGUCGUAAACUUCUUUUGUCGGGGAACAAAGGGCGCCACGCGUGGCGUUGUGAGUGUACCCGAAGAAAAAGCAUCGGCUAACUCCGUGCCAGCAGCCGCGGUAAUACGGAGGAUGCGAGCGUUAUCCGGAUUUAUUGGGUUUAAAGGGUGCGUAGGCGGAGUGUCAAGUCAGCGGUAAAAUUUCGGGGCUCAACCCCGUCGUGCCGUUGAAACUGACACCCUUGAGUGAGUGAGAAGUAAGCGGAAUGCGUGGUGUAGCGGUGAAAUGCAUAGAUAUCACGCAGAACGCCGAUUGCGAAGGCAGCUUACCGGCGCUCAACUGACGCUGAGGCACGAAAGUGCGGGUAUCGAACAGGAUUAGAUACCCGGGUAUCA
rnacentral:rRNA from 1 species